rnacentral:rRNA from 1 species
UACAGAGGUCUCAAGCGUUGUUCGGAUUCAUUGGGCGUAAAGGGUGCGUAGGUGGCGCGGUAAGUCGGGUGUGAAAUUUCGGAGCCUAACUCCGAAACUGCAUUCGAUACUGCCGUGCUUGAGGACUGGAGAGGAGACUGGAAUUUACGGUGUAGCAGUGAAAUGCGUAGAGAUCGUAAGGAAGACCAGUGGCGAAGGCGGGUCUCUGGACAGUUCCUGACACUGAGGCACGAAGGCCAGGGGAGCAAACGGG